rnacentral:rRNA from 1 species
GACGAACGCUGGCGGCGUGCUUAACACAUGCAAGUCGAACGGAAAGGCCCUGCUUUUGUGGGGUGCUCGAGUGGCGAACGGGUGAGUAACACGUGAGUAACCUGCCCUUGACUUUGGGAUAACUUCAGGAAACUGGGGCUAAUACCGGCUAGGAGCUCCUGCUGCAUGGUGGGGGUUGGAAAGUUUCGGCGGUUGGGGAUGGACUCGCGGCUUAUCAGCUUGUUGGUGGGGUAGUUGCUUACCAAGGCUUUGACGGGUAGCCGGCCUGAGAGGGUGACCGGCGACAUUGGGCCUGAGAUAGGGCCCAGACUCCAAUGGGAGGCAGCAGGGGGGAAUAUUGCACAAUGGGCGGAAGCCUGAUGCAGCAACGCCGCGUGCGGGAAGCCGGCCUUCGGGUUGGAAACCGCUUUCGCCUGUGACGAAGCGUGAGUGACGGUAAUGGGUAAAGAAGCACCGGCUAACUACGUG